rnacentral:rRNA from 1 species
CCGCCGGCGACCGGCGCACGGGUGAGUAACACGUAUGCAACCUGGCCGUGACAGAUGGAUAACCGGGAGAAAUCCCGCCUAAUACAACAUAAUGCCGGGAGGGGACAUCCCCUGCCGGUCAAAGGGGGCGACCCCGGUCAUGGAUGGGCAUGCGGCGCAUUAGGUAGUUGGUGGGGCAACGGCCCACCAAGCCGACGAUGCGUAGGGGUUCUGAGAGGAAGGUCCCCCACAUUGGGACUGAGACACGGCCCAAACUCCUACGGAAGGCAGCAG